rnacentral:rRNA from 1 species
UACGGAGGGGGCUAGCGUUGUUCGGAAUUACUGGGCGUAAAGCGCGCGUAGGCGGACUGUUAAGCCGGGGGUGAAAUACCGGGGCUCAACCCCGUAAAUGCCUUCGAUACUGGCGGUCUAGAGGUCUGGAGAGGUGAGUGGAAUUCCGAGUGUAGAGGUGAAAUUCGUAGAUAUGCUGAGGAACACCAGUGGCGAAGGCGGCUCACUGGCCAGAUUCUGACGCUGAGGUGCGAAAGCGUGUGGAGCAAACAGG